GGACGUCCCCGUCCCUGGGCAUGCGGCCCUUCAGGUCGACCGGCGGAGCAAACUAAACUCUUUUGUAUUUUAGUGGCCUCUCUGAGAAAACAAGCAAAUAAGUUAAAACUUUCAACAACGGAUCUCUUGGUUCUGGCAUCGAUGAAGAACGCAGCGAAAUGCGAUAAGUAAUGUGAAUUGCAGAAUUCAGUGAAUCAUCGAAUCUUUGAACGCACAUUGCGCCCGCCAGUAUUCUGGCGGGCAUGCCUGUUCGAGCGUCAUUUCAACCCUCAAGCCCUGCUUGGUGUUGGGGUCCUACGGCUGCCGUAGGCCCUGAAAGCUAGGGGCGGGCUCGCACCAACUCCGAGCGCAGUAAUGUAUCUCGCUAGGGAAGUGUGGCGGGUGCCGGCCGUUAAACCCCCCAAUUUUUACAAGGUUGACCUCGGAUCAGGUAGGAAUACCCGCUGAACUUAAGCAUAUCAUAAGGCGGGAGGAAAACUUCCUGUGG
rnacentral:rRNA from 1 species